CCUCCUCCUCCUCCUCCACCUCCUCCUCCUCCUACUGCUGCUCCUCUUCCAGCCAGAGAACAGCGAGCGAGAGCCGCGCGAGGGGAGGAGAGGAGGAGAGAGAGACAGAGAGAUAGAGUACGAGGGCCUAGCUCUCCCAACCCUUUCAUACUUAAGACGGAGAGAGAGAGAGAGAGAGAGAGAGGGAGAGGGAGAGAGAUGGUUCACUGUGGCUGCGACAGAGGAGGGAGAGCGAGCGAGCGAGCGAGGCGAGGAGAAAGUGAGGGAGGGAGGGAGGGAGGGUGAGAUACAGGGACAGAGAGAAAGAGAACGUGUGGUUGGAAGACAUGGUUUGGCAUGGAAGAGGAUAGAAAUGAUGCAAUUUGAUGAAGGGAGGGGGUCCGGGGUGAUCGAGUUUGUUUGCUGAUUAGCUAAUGCAUGUGUUGAAUGUAAAGAACUCAGGUGCGCCUGCUGCGGUAUACGAGAUCAGAGCGUUAAGAAGGUGCAAUUGAAAUGUCAAGCACUGGUUUCACUAGGGCAAGCGAGCUGUCACACGCUCAUCUGUCUAACUGUCUCUCUGCUUCCCUCCCUCAUCUCUCUCAUGUACACCUCUUCCUCGUGUGAGUUUAACAGAGCGAAGGUUUCUAUCACUGCCUCCACCAGUUACCGUUUUCCCAUUCAUAAAACUGGCAGCUGCGUUUGAGAGGGCAAAAAAAACACCAUGGUCGUAAUCAGAAUUCUGCGUGUUUUACAACAACCUUAAAAUGAGGAAAGCAAACCUGUGGAAGAUGUCUAUGUGAGUGUCGUAAGUCUGUUUUUCAACGGCUCUGGAACUGGUAGCAGACUAACUGUUGAAGGGGAGAAGUUGACAGAUGCUCCGCCCAAGCCGUCUAAUUUACGUCAUAUGAGAUGUUUAGUCACUCAAGGGCGGAAGUGCAUUUUCAGAUUUUAACUGAAGAUUAUGAGGGCACAUGAAUUUUAAAAAGAGAAUGACCCACACCGAUAAGCUAUUUACAAUAAACGCUACAGUAUUUAAGGGAAAAAAUUGAUUUUUUUAUUUCACUGGGACUUUAAAUUCAUCAUAUAACAGAGAUCGGUUUGAGCAGUUUUCAUCAAACAAGUAAAUAAUAAAUGUGAGUAAAGUAAAAAUGUAACCUGUAAGCUUUGCUUUGUCCUAUAGUCUCAAAAGAAAAAUGAUUGUGUAAUACUGCUGCAAAUGUAAAUAUAACCAUGCUGGACUAUAAAUAAAAAUGUAUCUUUCCAUUACAGAACCAAAUAAAGUUUUAAG